rnacentral:lncRNA from 1 species
AAAUAACAAUCCCCUUUCCCUGCUUUUCCUGUGGUACCUCUCUCACUUGAGAAAUAUCCAGCAGGGGGUAGUGUGCCCACACCGUACAGCGUGGUCCUACCUCCAGCAGAAAGCUGGAGCGGCGCAGAAAAUGAGCAUUGGGAUCCCUUCAGAGACACGCUGACACUGUGAGACAUCCUGUGCCAUCCCGUGAAGCACAUGCCUUUGAUCUCAGCUGUUUGCUUAGGAAGCGAGGAGCGGUGUCGCUAUGCUGCGUCGAACAACAGCUUGUCGGGUACCAUCGGCUUUGAUCGUACGCCCUACAGCACUGUAGCACAGAAAGAAGACUUGAGGGAAGAAGGAUUUGUCUCAGUCUGCCUUCCCCAGGAUCUUCAGCACUGCUGCAGACCUCUCCUUCCUGCUGGAGGAUCACUUCUGAAGGGUGGACCUGGUGGGCAGAGGAUAGACACGCUGGCUGAAACGCUGCCUUCUGGAACCGCUUCCAUGACGAAGCCAGAGAUCGUAACGAUGAAGGUUUUGUGUGAGGAUGAGACACCCAGAGCAGCCGAGACCCUACGGCAGACAUCGCAGCGUGCCGUCCUUCAGGUACCAUACGGGUGUAUGAGAAAAAUGAGUUUCAAGGACUGGUGCUCAUAACCUAGGACCCUCACCUGCAACGUGCCAGGCCUAGGGCAAGACCCUGACCCCAUCGCUGCGACUUGAGCCUGGACCCAACCCACUGGACUAUCUUGGUUAUUCUUUCCUUCCUUUCUCCUUCCCAGUGAUAAGAGGUCUUGUAAAAUUCCUAAUAACAAUAAAAAUACAUGUUGAAGCUUCA